UACGGAGGGUGCGAGCGUUAAUCGGAAUUACUGGGCGUAAAGCGCACGCAGGUGGUUGGGUAAGUCGGAUGUGAAAGCCCUGGGCUUAACCUGGGAACUGCAUUCGAUACUGCCCGGCUAGAGUAUGGGAGAGGGAAGCGGAAUUUCCGGUGUAGCGGUGAAAUGCGUAGAUAUCGGAAGGAACACCAAUGGCGAAGGCAGCUUCCUGGCCCAAUACUGACGCUCAGGUGCGAAAGCGUGGGGAUCAAACAGG
rnacentral:rRNA from 2 species